CAUAGGGUUGCCUUCUGUUUUGCUUUUCCUUAAAGUUAUACAUACAUCAGCAAAAACAAUCCGGUAACAGCUCGCAGCAGAACAAACGCUGACAGCACGACAGAUCUUUGCAGUGCCCUGUUGGACAUUGUUUUCUUAGAGCGUGUGUUUCUUUCAUCAGAGCUGAAGAAAAUCCAUUCAUUCCCUGGAGACCCGGCUGCACUGCCUGCCUGCCUUCAUUUGCUGCUAACUGCUGGACUGACUUUAUCAGCGCUCCAGCAAAAAAGCCUGUGAUUGUAAAGCCCUGUCAAUGAUUAGCCUGGACUGGGAGACUUAGGAUGGGUCAUGAGAGCCACGCAAUUUGAGGGAGGUGGCCUCGUUGCAGUCAACAACACGUGUCAUCUUCUUGGGAUGAGGAAAAUGAGAUAGGUGGAAAUGCAUAUCUGACACUAAUUUGAAUGUGUUAAAUAAACAUACAGAAACAAUGCCCAAGAGUGGCAUUGUCUGUGUAGCCUUUCACAUGGCCGUAGAUCUUUU
rnacentral:lncRNA from 1 species